rnacentral:rRNA from 1 species
CACGGUAGGGUGCGAGCGUUGUCCGGAAUUAUUGGGCGUAAAGAGCUCGUAGGCGGUGUGUCGCGUCGGCCGUGAAAACCUGCAGCUUAACUGUGGGCUUGCGGUCGAUACGGGCAUCACUGGAGUUCGGGCAGGGGGAGACUGGAAUUCCUGGUGUAGCGGUGAAAUGCGCAGAUAUCAGGAGGGAACCACCGGUGGCGAAGGCGGGUCUCUGGGC